rnacentral:tRNA from 1 species
AAGAGUGUGGUGUAGCAGGUCUGCACGUUAGUCUGAAAAACUAAAAGGUACAGGUUCGAUUCCCUGUCUGUUC